rnacentral:rRNA from 1 species
UGGUCAAGUUAUUAAGGGUGCAGGGCGGAUGCCUUGGCACUAGGAGCCGAUGAAGGACGUGAUAAGCUGCGAUAAGCUUCGGGGAGUUGCACGUAAACUUUGAUCCGAAGAUUUCCGAAUGAGGAAACUCACUUAGAGUAAUGUCUAAGUAUCAUUAAGUGAAUACAUAGCUUAAUGAGGGGAACUCAGGGAACUGAAACAUCUAAGUACAGCACGGAAUAGAAAGAAAUACGAUUUCGUAAGUAGCGGCGAGCGAACGCGGAUUAGCCCAAAUCAAUAAAGUGUUCUUGAUUGGGGGUGCGGACAUAUCAUAACGAAGAGGUAUCGUAAGUGAAGAGGUAUGGAAAGACCCACCACAGAAGGUAAUAGUCCUGUAUGUUAAACGAGAAGACUUUAGAUAUGAUCCAGAGUACCACGGGACACGUGAAACCCUGUGGGAAGCAGGAGGGACCACCCUCCAAGGCUAAAUACUACCUAGUGACCGAUAGCGUAUAGUACCGUGAGGGAAAGGUGAAAAGAACCCCGGGAGGGGAG